ACUGCAAAGAAUUUAAUGAAGUUAUUUGUUGAAAUUAAAGAUGUAAAAUUUGAUGAAGACAAAAAAUCAAAUGCAAGAAACGUUGCUGCAUUGCAUCUAGAAUUAAUGUUUAAACAACAAUGUAUAGCAACAUUAAUUGAUUACUAUACACCGAAAGAAGAGAUCAAAUCUGCUUCAUCAAUAAAAAC
rnacentral:lncRNA from 1 species